CUACACAUGCAGUCGAACGAAGAGCGAUGGAAGCUUGCUUCUAUCAAUCUUAGUGGCGAACGGGUGAGUAACGCGUAAUCAACCUGCCCUUCAGAGGGGGACAACAGUUGGAAACGACUGCUAAUACCGCAUACGAUCUAAUCUCGGCAUCGAGGAUAGAUGAAAGGUGGCCCCUACAUGUAAGCUAUCACUGAAGGAGGGGAUUGCGUCUGAUUAGCUAGUUGGAGGGGUAACGGCCCACCAAGGCGAUGAUCAGUAGCCGGUCUGAGAGGAUGAACGGCCACAUUGGGACUGAGACACGGCCCAGACUCCUACGGGAGGCAGCAGUGGGGAAUCUUCCGCAAUGGACGAAAGUCUGACGGAGCAACGCCGCGUGAGUGAUGACGGCCUUCGGGUUGUAAAGCUCUGUUAAUCGGGACGAAAGGCCUUCUUGCGAAUAGUGAGAAGGAUUGACGGUACCGGAAUAGAAAGCCACGGCUAACUACGUGCCAGCAGCCGCGGUGAUACGUAGGUGGCAAGCGUUGUCCGGAAUUAUUGGGCGUAAAGCGCGCGCAGGCGGAUAGGUCAGUCUGUCUUAAAAGUUCGGGGCUUAACCCCGUGAUGGGAUGGAAACUGCCAAUCUAGAGUAUCGGAGAGGAAAGUGGAAUUCCUAGUGUAGCGGUGAAAUGCGUAGAUAUUAGGAAAGAACACCAGUGGCGAAGGCGACUUUCUGGACGAAAACUGACGCUGAGGCGCGAAAGCCAGGGGAAGCGAACGGGAUUAGAUACCCCGGU
rnacentral:rRNA from 1 species